GUUUGGGUGGUGUAGUUGGUUAUCACGCUAAUUUCACACACUAGAAAUCCUUAAUUCAAACUUGAGCUCAAACG